CAAAUUCUUCUGAUGCACAACUUAAGGUUUUGUUAAUUCUGUAUCUUCUUCGUGAUUAAUUUGUUUUUGAUAUAACUUUCUUCUAUGUUACUGAUAAUUUUUCUUAUUUGACGUUAAUUGAUAUGAACUUGCCGCAAUAUUUAAGAAGAUUGGAGACAAGCAGACCUGCACUACUGGUUUGUAUGGAUUAUACCGAAUUACUCGACUAUACCCCAUCGUACACUACAGGAGUUACACUGGGUCAUCACUGGCAGGCUGCUGGCUUAAGCUGUUUUUUAUCUUUUUGAUCAUUGGAAAUUUUGUAGCUUAAUUCUCACUUUUUGAGACCAUGCCAGGUUUUGAUAUAAUUUCCCAACUUCAGAAUGCGAGCAAUGCAUUCCGAACAUACAUAGAAGAAGGGUUAGCUGAGAUAGAAACGAAUGUUGCUGCCGGAAAAAUACUUUCAAGUGUACCAAUGUCAAUGCCUCCUCCAGUUGCCUUAAAUCUUAUUAGUUUUGAUUAAAUUCAAUUCAAUGAAGCACUGGACAUAGGUAAGAGCUGUGAUUAAAUUCAAUUCAAUUGGUAUGAUGGAGAAUGUGCCUGUGGUGGCUAGUGAUGAUUCUGUGGUCGAAUGGAUUAAAUGAGUCUGUGGGGCUGUUUUAUGCCGAGAGUUCAGUGAAGAAUAAUUGUUUGCUGCUCGACUUUGGUGUGAGGUAUUGAUGACGGUAACUGGUGGCUGAUAGAGAAAACACAUAACGGAGUUCAUUGAUGACUUUGUUUGCUGACAGAGUUUGAUUUUACUGCCACUAUUAUUUGAACGGGAGAUGAUCUCACUGCUAUAAUUGGUGCGAGGACGCAAGACAUCAGUAUUUGAUGCGACCAAUAUGUUAAGAGACCCGCAUAACAAAGUAAUUCAUAUCGUCUCACAUGCUUUAAGAACUUAAUGAUGUACAUAUUGUACUAUGCUCGAUGAUUUUUACAUAACAACAAGGAAAGACCUCCAUGUGCAAGGAAAUAAACGUUGGGUUGGUUGAGAGCAAGGGAUGUUUUAAUCUGACUUGCAAUGGAUGCCACCAAAAAAUCUAUGCAGAAAGA